AACCCUCAGAUUGGGGAUUUCCUGCCGGAGGAAGCUUUUUGGAGGAGCUGCCUUUGGGAGGAACUCUUCCAGUUCUGAGGGUUU
rnacentral:pre_miRNA from 1 species